UGUUGAUUGAUAAAAUUCAUUUCCAGGGCAUGAAGAAAGAGGAAGGCUUAGAGCUUGGAAAUUAAAAUUUCUUCAAUUGCGUGAAACCGUUUCUAGCUUUGGCGUGGGAACUCUCGAUCAUAUAGAAAUCUCAAGAACGUUCCGAGCUGCAAUUUUGACUCUGAAACGUUCCUCUACAGAAUUCAGUCUGGCCAGAGCAAUUCGGAAGUGCAACGGUAGGUAAUUCCGGUAGCGCCGGUACUGUAGAAGGCGACGGCAAAGAUAUAUCCUGCAUUUCAUGUGACCGGCAAGUUUCACUCCGCCAGUCUAUGGGUGGUGGCAAAGCGGCUGAUGUUCUACUGCGGAAACAGCGGCAUGUUUCUUUCGGCAUUGUUGUCGUUGCGACCGUGUUUUGGCUUUUAAUUGAGCACUCUGGGAUGCCAUUGCUAACAAUAAGUUCAGAUGUCUUGCUGGUUUUGGUUGUCCUAUUGUUUCUUCGUGCCAACUUUGCUGCGCUUCGUCUCAAAAGAUGGUAUGUUUUUCCUUGUUAGCUCUUCUUCACAGUGAAUCGACAUAGCAUACAUAGCAUUUCACAGCAAGAAUCACAUACAUAAACAUGGCAUACAUAAACAUCUAGCCUAGCAUACAUCAACAAUACACAUGGUGCUUGCAAGGGCACACACCAACAUACAUACAUAACUAAUACCAACAGUAAGUUUACUUACCUCUUUGGCCUUGGCCGAAGUCACCCACAAAGCUAACUCCAGCAAUAACAUGAUACACUUAGAGCCCUUUCACAACUAUCCCUUAUGCCGAACUACCAAGGUACGUCUUUAUCGCAAGCUAUUUUGUCAACAUGGAGUUAUACUGACCUUAGAUUGUUGAAACAAGGGUGGGAAUGGCUCUAGGGGUCGAAAACCUAGGAAUCGGUAUACUAUUCGGAUGUCGAGACGUCGAGCCGGGAGUGCGUUGAGCCGCCGAUGGAGCUGAAACCGAUGGCUUCGACGAACACUGUCGGCGCAGGGUCUCUGGGCGCGCCUCCGGUUUGGGCCGAAAGGGAACGAGGCCCAGGGAUGGUGUCCGAGUGCGGCCUGCGAGGUGCGGGCUGCACGCUGGCCGAGACGACUCGCGGAAUGCCGAGGGCCGACCCACGUCUGCCGCUUCGUCUUCGUCUUCUUCGUCUUCCUCGCGGUAUCAGAGUUUGGCUGCUGUCGCCGGUGGUAGUUUUUCCAAGGACAAGGAUCAAUGAAAAAUGCUGACUAUAAUUUUCUUAAGUUGUAUUAAACCACAGGAAAAUUGUAACACUGUUUCAUCCCAAAUGAAUGCCUGGCUAACUGGACUCUUGAAGGCUAUUGCUCGGCCGUGUAUACCUAGGUUUAAUGAUUUGAUUUGAACCACCCUGAUCAAAUAUCACAGAUUCUUGUUCUUAGUUGCUACAGAAAAAGAUGAGGGUUGGUUUGUUUAUCAAAUUCCACUUUGUCAAAUAUGGAUCAGCCCACAGAAAGGCCCAUUGUUGAAUGCCAAACAGAUAUGGAUCAUUCACAUUUGGUA